GUUAGGAAUAUUGGACAAUGGGCGCAAGCCUGAUCCAGCCAUGCCGCGUGAACGAUGAAGGCCUUCGGGUUGUAAAGUUCUUUAGCCGAUGAUUAUAAUGACUGUAGUCGGAAAAUAAGCCCCGGCUAACUUCGUGCCAGCAGCCGCGGUAAUACGAAGGGGGCGAGCGUUAUUCGGGAUCACUGGGCGUAAAGCGUGCGUAGGCGGUCUCGUAAGUUAGGAGUGAAAGCCCAGGGCUCAACCUUGGAAUUGCUCUUAAUACUGCAAGGCUAGAAUCUCGGAGAGGAUAGCGGAAUUUCCAGUGUAGCAGUGAAAUGCGUAGAUAUUGGAAGGAACACCAGUGGCGUAAGCGGCUAUCUGGACGAGUAUUGACGCUGAGGCACGAAAGCGUGUGGAUCAAACAGGAUUAGAUACCCUGGUAGUCC
rnacentral:rRNA from 1 species